GGUCAAGCGAACAAGUGCAUGUGGUGGAUGCCUUGGCGAUCACAGGCGAUGAAGGACGCGGUAGCCUGCGAAAAGCUACGGGGAGCUGGCAAACGAGCUUUGAUCCGUAGAUGUCCGAAUGGGGAAACCCACUCCUUUUGGAGUAUCCAUGGCUGAAUACAUAGGCCAUGUGAAGCGAACGCGGUGAACUGAAACAUCUAAGUAACCGCAGGAAAAGAAAUCAACCGAGAUUCCCAAAGUAGUGGCGAGCGAAAUGGGAUGAGCCUUGCACUCUUUAUUUGUAUUGUUAGCCGAACGCUCUGGAAAGUGCGGCCAUAGCAGGUGAUAGCCCUGUAGGCGAAAACAGUAUGAAAGAACUAGGUGUGCGACAAGUAGGGCGGGACACGUGAAAUCCUGUCUGAAGAUGGGGGGACCAUCCUCCAAGGCUAAAUACUCGUGAUCGACCGAUAGUGAACCAGUACCGUGAGGGAAAGGCGAAAAGAACCCCGGGAGGGGAGUGAAAUAGAUCCUGAAACCGCAUGCAUACAAACAGUCGGAGCCUCGUAAGGGGUGACGGCGUACCUUUUGUAUAAUGGGUCAGCGACUUACGUUCAGUAGCAAGCUUAACCGUAUAGGGCAGGCGUAGCGAAAGCGAGUCCGAAUAGGGCGUUCAGUUGCUGGGCGUAGACCCGAAACCAGGUGAUCUAUCCAUGGCCAGGAUGAAGGUGCGGUAACACGUACUGGAGGUCCGAACCCACUAACGUUGAAAAGUUAGGGGAUGAGCUGUGGAUAGGGGUGAAAGGCUAAACAAACCUGGAAAUAGCUGGUUCUCUCCGAAAACUAUUUAGGUAGUGCCUCGUGUCUCACCUUCGGGGGUAGAGCACUGUCAUGGUUGGGGGGUCUAUUGCAGAUUACCCCGCCAUAGCAAACUCCGAAUACCGAAGAGUGCAAUCACGGGAGACAGACAUCGGGUGCUAACGUCCGGUGUCAAGAGGGAAACAACCCAGACCGCCAGCUAAGGUCCCCAAAUAUAGCUAAGUGGGAAACGAAGUGGGAAGGCUAAAACAGUCAGGAGGUUGGCUUAGAAGCAGCCACCCUUUAAAGAAAGCGUAAUAGCUCACUGAUCGAGUCGUCCUGCGCGGAAGAUGUAACGGGGCUAAGCUAUAUACCGAAGCUGCGGAUGCGAGCUUGCUCGCAUGGUAGGAGAGCGUUCCGUAAGCCUGCGAAGGUGCCUUGUAAAGGGUGCUGGAGGUAUCGGAAGUGCGAAUGCUGACAUGAGUAGCGAUAAAGGGGGUGAAAGGCCCCCUCGCCGUAAGCCCAAGGUUUCCUACGCAACGUUCAUCGGCGUAGGGUGAGUCGGCCCCUAAGGCGAGGCAGAAAUGCGUAGCUGAUGGGAAGCAGGUCAAUAUUCCUGCACCAUUGUUAGAUGCGAUGGGGGGACGGAUCGCGGAAGGUUGUCCGGGUGUUGGAAGUCCCGGUCGCUGCAUUGGAGAAGGCGCUUAGGCAAAUCCGGGCGCGCAAUUCAAGGGUGUGGCGCGAGCUCCUUAGGGAGCGAAGCAAUUGGAAGUGGUUCCAAGAAAAGCCUCUAAGCUUCAGUCUAACGAUGACCGUACCGCAAACCGACACAGGUGGGCGAGAUGAGUAUUCUAAGGCGCUUGAGAGAACUCGGGAGAAGGAACUCGGCAAAUUGGUACCGUAACUUCGGGAUAAGGUACGCCCUUGUAGCUUGACUGGCCUGCGCCAGGAGGGUGAAGGGGUUGCAAUAAACUGGUGGCUGCGACUGUUUAAUAAAAACACAGCACUCUGCAAACACGAAAGUGGACGUAUAGGGUGUGACGCCUGCCCGGUGCCGGAAGAUUAAAUGAUGGGGUGCAAGCUCUUGAUUGAAGUCCCGGUAAACGGCGGCCGUAACUAUAACGGUCCUAAGGUAGCGAAAUUCCUUGUCGGGUAAGUUCCGACCUGCACGAAUGGCGUAACGAUGGCCACACUGUCUCCUCCCGAGACUCAGCGAAGUUGAAGUGUUUGUGAUGAUGCAAUCUACCCGCGGCUAGACGGAAAGACCCCAUGAACCUUUACUGUAGCUUUGCAUUGGACUUUGAACCGAUCUGUGUAGGAUAGGUGGGAGGCUAUGAAACCGGAACGCUAGUUUCGGUGGAGCCGUCCUUGAAAUACCACCCUGGUUUGUUUGAGGUUCUAACCUUGGCCCGUGAUCCGGGUCGGGGACAGUGCAUGGUAGGCAGUUUGACUGGGGCGGUCUCCUCCCAAAGCGUAACGGAGGAGUACGAAGGUACGCUAGGUACGGUCGGAAAUCGUGCUGAUAGUGCAAUGGCAUAAGCGUGCUUAACUGCGAGACCGACAAGUCGAGCAGGUGCGAAAGCAGGUCAUAGUGAUCCGGUGGUUCUGUAUGGAAGGGCCAUCGCUCAACGGAUAAAAGGUACUCUGGGGAUAACAGGCUGAUACCGCCCAAGAGUUCAUAUCGACGGCGGUGUUUGGCACCUCGAUGUCGGCUCAUCUCAUCCUGGGGCUGUAGCCGGUCCCAAGGGUAUGGCUGUUCGCCAUUUAAAGAGGUACGUGAGCUGGGUUUAAAACGUCGUGAGACAGUUUGGUCCCUAUCUGCCGUGGGCGUUGGAUAUUUGAAGGGGGCUGCUCCUAGUACGAGAGGACCGGAGUGGACGAACCUCUGGUGUACCGGUUGUCACGCCAGUGGCAUCGCCGGGUAGCUAUGUUCGGAAGAGAUAACCGCUGAAAGCAUCUAAGCGGGAAACUCGCCUUAAGAUGAGAUAUCCCUGGGGACUAGAUCCCCUUGAAGGGUCGUUCGAGACCAGGACGUUGAUAGGUCGGGUGUGUAAGCGCAGUAAUGCGUUCAGCUAACCGAUACUAAUUGCCCGUAAGGCUUGAUCCU
rnacentral:rRNA from 1 species